rnacentral:tRNA from 2 species
GCGGGCAUAGCUCAGUUGGUAGAGCAACUGACUGACUCUUUACACAAGCAGCAGUAGGUCCCCUUCUUUCAUAAAUAGCCGACUCUUGGUGCCGGCACCA